rnacentral:rRNA from 1 species
CCCCAGACUCCUACGGGAGGCAGCAGUGGGGAAUAUUGCACAAUGGGCGAAAGCCUGAUGCAGCGACGCCGCGUGAAGGAUGAAGUAUUUCGGUAUGUAAACUUCUAUCAGCAGGGAAGAAAAUGACGGUACCUGACUAAGAAGCCCCGGCUAACUACGUGCCAGCAGCCGCGGUAAUACGUAGGGGGCAAGCGUUAUCCGGAUUUACUGGGUGUAAAGGGGGCGCAGACGGCGAUGCAAGCCAGGAGUGAAAGCCCGGGGCCCAACCCCGGGACUGCAUUGGAAACUGCGAGGCUGGAGUGUCGGAGAGGCAGGCGGAAUUCCUAGUGUAGCGGUGAAAUGCGUAGAUAUUAGGAGGAACACCAGUGGCGAAGGCGGCCUGCUGGACGAUGACUGACGCUGAGGCUCGAAAGCGUGGGGAGCAAACAGGAUUAGAUACCCCCGUACG